GAGUUGUCCACAUAAGCAUAAGGCCAAGUCCUAGCUGGUGCCUUCCUGAGUCCUAAAACAUCAAAUUCAUUUCUGAAAAAGACUAAAAGAGCUUCACGUGGUUCUGAAGUCUGUGAAUACAAUAUGUGGCUAUUUGGGGAAUUCGCCAGAUCAUCCCAGGAAGGAUUGGCUUUUGGAAGUAUCAGGCAGAAGUUCUCACACUGAAUUGGGCAAGCUCCACUAGAGCUGGGACUUCGGCUGAUAAUUCACCUCUGCAUCCUCCAUGCCGGGAGAGUGGGUGGCACAGAGAAGAUGGUUGAUAAAUAGUUGCUGAAUGGAGGCACAUGUCACAAGGAAAUCUCUAUGAAGACUGAGCUACUGACCUUGACAUAGAUUUGUAAUCUAGGCAGAAUUUUCAAGAAGAUACACAAACGGGGUGGAGAGUGGUCGGAGUAAGGUGAAGAGAUGCCGAAGACAUUGUAAUGGGCUCGAGAUACAGAAAAUACCAGUCUGCUCGAGAGUGGUGUGUGUGCCCUGGGAAGAGCGGAUUUAGCCUGAAUUUUGAAAGGCCUUCAGUGGCAGGAUUAGCCUGGGGGAGAGAGUGAAGGGUUUUGGUCAGGAAGUACUGACCAAAAGUACUUUCAAGAAGUACUGUUUUGGGAAGAUUAAUCAGGUCAUGAUAGACAAAACUGGCCGUGUGGCAGGGAAAUAAAUUAGGAGGACCCUGUGAAAACUGAGGCUCCAGGUGACAAGGCCUGCUUAGAACCACAGGGAAUGGGGAUCUCAAGAAGAGAGAAGUAGAAUGAUCUACCCAGCCAAGAAUCAAUGGAACUGGAUAACU